rnacentral:rRNA from 1 species
UACGUAGGGGGCAAGCGUUGUCCGGAUUUAUUGGGCGUAAAGAGCGUGUAGGCGGCCAGGUAGGUCUGCUGUGAAAACUCGAGGCUCAACCUCGAGACGCCGGCGGAAACCAUCUGGCUAGAGUCCGGAAGAGGAGAGUGGAAUUCCUGGUGUAGCGGUGAAAUGCGCAGAUAUCAGGAAGAACACCAAUGGCGAAAGCAGCUCUCUGGGACGGUACUGACGCUGAGACGCGAAAGCGUGGGGAGCGAACAGG